AUUGAACGCUGGCGGCAGGCCUAACACAUGCAAGUCGAGCGAGCGGCGGACGGGUGAGUAAUGUCUGGGAAUCUGCCUGAUGGCGGGGGAUAACUACUGGAAACGGUAGCUAAUACCGCAUACCAUCAGAUGUACCCAGAUGGGAUUAGCUAGUAGGUGAGGUAAAGGCUUACCUAGGCGACGAUCCCUAGCUGGUCUGAGAGGAUGCUCAGCCACACGGGAACUGAGACACGGCCCAGACUCCUACGGGAGGCAGCAGUGGGGAAUAUUGCACAAUGGGCGCAAGCCUGAUGCAGCCAUGCCGCGUGUAUGAAGAAGGCCUUCGGGUUGUAAAGCACUUUCAGUGGGGAGGCGUUACUGACAGAAGAAGCACCGGCUAACUCCGUGCCAGCAGCCGCGGUAAUAC
rnacentral:rRNA from 1 species